UACGGAGGGUGCAAGCAUUAAUCGGAUUUACUGGGCGUAAAGGGCGCGUAGGCGGGUCUACAAGUCAAAAUGUGAAAUUCCGGAGCUCAACUUCGGAGCGGCAUUUGAAACUGUAGGUCUAUAGAGGGAUGGCGGAGAAAAUGGAAUUCCACAUGUAGCGGUGGAAAUGACGUAGAUAUGUGGAAGAACAACCAAGUGGCCGGAAA
rnacentral:rRNA from 1 species